UCUCAAGAUUAAGCCAUGCAUGUCUAAGUAUAAGCACUUUAUACUGUGAAACUGCGAAUGGCUCAUUAAAUCAGUUAUCGUUUAUUUGAUAGUACCUUACUACAUGGAUACCUGUGGUAAUUCUAGAGCUAAUACAUGCUAAAAACCCCGACUUCGGAAGGGGUGUAUUUAUUAGAUAAAAAACCAAUGCCCUUCGGGGCUCCUUGGUGAUUCAUAAUAACUUAACGAAUCGCAUGGCCUUGCGCCGGCGAUGGUUCAUUCAAAUUUCUGCCCUAUCAACUUUCGAUGGUAGGAUAGUGGCCUACCAUGGUGGCAACGGGUAACGGGGAAUUAGGGUUCGAUUCCGGAGAGGGAGCCUGAGAAACGGCUACCACAUCCAAGGAAGGCAGCAGGCGCGCAAAUUACCCAAUCCCGACACGGGGAGGUAGUGACAAUAAAUACUGAUACGGGGCUCUUUCGGGUCUCGUAAUUGGAAUGAGUACAAUCUAAAUCCCUUAACGAGGAACAAUUGGAGGGCAAGUCUGGUGCCAGCAGCCGCGGUAAUUCCAGCUCCAAUAGCGUAUAUUAAAGUUGUUGCAGUUAAAAAGCUCGUAGUUGAACCUUGGGUCUGGCUGGCCGGUCCGCCUCACCGCGAGUACUGGUCCGGCUGGACCUUUCCUUCUGGGGAAUCCCAUGGCCUUCCUGGCUGUGGGGGGAACCAGGACUUUUACUGUGAAAAAAUUAAAAUGUUCAAAGCAGGCCUUUGCUCGAAUACAUUA
rnacentral:rRNA from 1 species